AGUUAGUUUCCCCGUAAUAUAUGCAUAAUUAACCUUUUUUUUUUUUUUACUUCCAGUGAAAAGGACGGAGCCUGUUGCUGCUUGCUCACGAAGGCAGAAGACAGUUGGAGGUGCAGGAAUGCUGCCCUGUGACAACCUGUGAAAACAACCCCCGGCUCUCACGCGCUCCAUGUGCGGAUUCCGCGCAGCGGUGUCAGCAAGUCAAAUGGUCGAUAUGAAGAAGGAAGAAUUGUUUGGGACUAACCUGGAGUGUCUCCCUCCAUUCUGGUGCUUCUCUGGCGGCGUGAAGAAGUCUCAGUGACCGGGGGAGGGAGGCGGGAGCGAGGCUGUCACCGAACCGCCCGCAGCAAGCCGGAACCUUCUCUCUCUCUUUAUUUCCAAUCCUUCUCCGCUUUCCCCCUCGCUCGUAUGCACUUGACGGAGCCCGUACCUCGCCACUUUGAACUUCGAACUGACAAAAACACAAACUAACGAUUAGUGUACGUGUUGUUAAACGAGUGUCGCUGUACUUCUGACGCCACCGGUCAAUACACACCCAUGCCCCGCCCACACUGACCGUGACGUCACCCUUCAACUUUGCAAAAUCAGCGGGUAAUAUCAAACACAGAGCAGCUUGACAAAAAAAGUCAUAACUUUAUUGCACCUUUUCUUUUCGUUUUCUUCAAACGUGGUGCAAACGCAAGUGUGGAAGGUUCAUUUUGGCGGCCUUGACAAAACGCGUGUGCAGGUAAAACACCCACCCACUGCUCGAUUAAAGAUGGUCUUCUCAAUAUAUUUAUAACUAUAUAUGGCCAAUUCAAGGCAGAAUCUCUAGACUAGAAAGAAGGGGCACAUUUUUACAGCACGGGAGGACUGCAUACAAUGCAUUUUGUGUCAUGACGUUGGUGCAGGAGGGAGGGGUCGUGACCCCGAACCAUUUGUUGUAAACUAAUCUUUUGUGGUAUUUGUACAGUGCGUGUCUCAAGUUAAUGGUCUGCCGCAAGAUCACGUCCAAUUUCCCCUCCCACAUUUACAAAACAGUGGGAAUACAGUACAUAUGUGAUGGCUUCCUGAGUCUCCGCCCAUUUUGUGGAGGUGACCGGGAGCGAUGAAAAAAAUUGCAUAGAGGUAUAUGAAUAAAUUACUUUAACUGACAUGAGGGGAAGCUCAAAUGCAAUGUUAAACUGAGUUGAGAAACGCCCCCUCGCCGCCAUUGCAAAUACUCUUGAGCACAACAGUGAAUUUUAUCAUUAGAUUGAAUAUCAAAUUGUGUAUAAUAAAAAAAAAAACAUAAGAAAAUAUGACAUUAUGGCCUACACAUGUCGUCCAGUCAUUCUGAUGCUCCAUAAAUUGUGGAAAUGAAUUAAAAAAAUAAAAUAAAUUCAGUGGGGGAAAAACUAGCCACUCAACACAGCAACAUUACACACCGGCUGAUAAAAAGGUAUAAAAUCAGAACAUUCGGAAAACUAAAAUAUAUAGAGAAAUUAACUUAAUUCUAUUUGAUGGAAAGAGAUCUAAUGGCCCAGGGGGAAAAAAAACUGCGGCUGAUGAUAGAAAAUGGAGGUCCAGUAUUAUUUUUGGUAAUUGGCUCAUUCAGAAUUGAG